rnacentral:sRNA from 17 species
GUCAACUACCCCGCCCUAAAGGACGGAGCUUGGAGGUAACAACCGAAAAGUUGGGUUGACCAGGGAGCACAGGAUGGUUCUGUGCAGACGUCAGCAAUAGGUCGUUACGACCCACUCCGGGAUGCUUCCUCAGUCCCGGACACUGGA